UACGUAGGGUGCGAGCGUUAAUCGGAAUUACUGGGCGUAAAGCGUGCGCAGGCGGUUGUGUAAGACAGAUGUGAAAUCCCCGGGCUCAACCUGGGAACUGCAUUUGUGACUGCACAGCUGGUGUGCGGCAGAGGGGGAUGGAAUUCCGCGUGUAGCAGUGAAAUGCGUAGAUAUGCGGAGGAACACCGGUGGCGAAGGCGGCAUCCUGGACCGAGAUUGACGCUGAGGCGCGAAAGCCAGGGGAGCAAACGGG
rnacentral:rRNA from 1 species